UACUGAAAUCCAAUUUUUUCUCAUGAAAUCUAUUUAUUUUUCCCUCAAAACUUGAAAAUGUUGAUCCCUCAAAACUUGAAAAUGUUGAAAAUUGAUAGAAAAAAAAAUAGUGUUACGAGAUGCAUCAUUUUCAAAACUUCUAAAUCCAUUUUUUUCUUAUGAAAUCCAUUUUUUCCCUCAUGUGAUGUUGAGACGAUCAAUUUGCAGCCGCCCAUUUCUCAGCUAUCUCUCUCUCUCUCUCAACGCAUCUGUCUCUGUCUCUCGCCCUCUCAUAUGUAGCAGAAAAUGGUGGAGAGAGCCAUGCCUAGGGUGCCAGGACUCAUAACUUCUCUCUCCUCUACACCCCCAGCCUAUUCUCUCUCUUUCCUACCCAAGCGUCUUUUAUGUCUCUCUGCAAGCCGAGCCCCUCUGCAACCCCAAUGCUGUACUCUCUCUCUUGCUUAAGCCGUCGAAGACAUCUCAAGUACGUCCAGUGAUUCUACUUUUCAUCUUUGUUUUUUACGUUCAUUUACUUUUUGCGAUCUUACUCGUCUACAUUUACAACAAAAAAAGUACGAACAAAAUAUGGGAGUGAACAAGGGGGAUUUAUAGUUUGGAA
rnacentral:lncRNA from 1 species